UACGUAGGGGCCGAGCGUUGUCCGGAGUUAUUGGGCGUAAAGCGCGCGCAGGCGGCCUCGCGCGCCCGACGUGAAAGCCCCCGGCUUAACCGGGGAGGGUCGUUGGGGACGGCGGGGCUUGAGGGCGGGAGAGGUCGGUGGAAUUCCCGGUGUAGUGGUGAAAUGCGUAGAGAUCGGGAGGAACACCUGUGGCGAAGGCGGCCGACUGGGCCGACCCUGACGCUGAGGCGCGAAGGCGUGGGGAGCGAGCGGG
rnacentral:rRNA from 1 species